GAUCAUGGCUCAGGAUGAACGCUAGCGACAGGCUUAACACAUGCAAGUCGAGGGGCAGCAUAAAAGUAGCAAUACUUGGUGGCGACCGGCGCACGGGUGAGUAACGCGUAUGCAACCUACCUAUCAGGAGGGGAACUAACCGGCGAAAGUCGGACUAAUACCGCAUAAAACAGGGGCACCGCAUGGUGAUAUUUGUUAAAGAAAUUCGCUGAUAGAUGGGCAUGCGUUCCAUUAGGUAGUUGGUGAGGUAACGGCUCACCAAGCCGACGAUGGAUAGGGGAACUGAGAGGUUGGUCCCCCACACUGGUACUGAGACACGGACCAGACUCCUACGGGAGGCAGCAGUGAGGAAUAUUGGUCAAUGGGCGGGAGCCUGAACCAGCCAAGUCGCGUGAAGGAAGAAGGAUCUAUGGUUCGUAAACUUCUUUUGCAGGGGAAUAAAGUGCAGGACGUGUCCUGUUUUGUAUGUACCCUGAGAAUAAGGAUCGGCUAACUCCGUGCCAGCCGCCGC
rnacentral:rRNA from 1 species